GACAGAGGAUGCAAGCGUUAUCCGGAAUGAUUGGGCGUAAAGCGCGUGUAGGCGGUUCCGUAAGUCCGCUCUGAAAGCCCAGGGCUCAACCCUGGGAGGCGGGUGGAUACUACGGAACUGGAGUACGGAAGAGGAGAUUGGAAUUCCUGGUGUAGCGGUGAAAUGCGCAGAUAUCAAGGAGGAACACCAACAGCGAAGGCAGAUCUCUGGGACGUUACUGACGCUGAGACGCGAAAGCGUGGGGAGCAAACAGG
rnacentral:rRNA from 1 species